rnacentral:rRNA from 1 species
UACAGAGGGUGCGAGCGUUGUCCGGAAUUACUGGGCGUAAAGCGCACGUAGGCGGCUUUGUAAGUUAGAGGUGAAAGCCCAGGGCUUAACCCUGGAAUUGCCCUUAAGACUGCAUCGCUAGAAUUGUGGAGAGGUAAGUGGAAUUCCGAGUGUAGAGGUGAAAUUCGUAGAUAUUCGGAAGGAACACCAGUGGCGAAGGCGACUUACUGGACACAUAUUGACGCUGAGGUGGCGAAAGCGUGGGGAGCAAACAGG